GAUGAACGCUGGCGGCGUGCCUAACACAUGCAAGUCGAGCGGCAGCGCGAGUAGUUUACUACUUGGCGGCGAGCGGCGGACGGCUGAGUAACGCGUGGGAAUUUGCCCCAAAGUGAGGAAUAACUGCCCGAAAGGGUGGCUAAUGCCGCAUAUGAUCUUCGGAUUAAAGGAUUUAUCCGCUUUGGGAGAAGCCCGCGUCGGAUUAGGUAGUUGGUGAGGUAAUGGCUCACCAAGCCGACGAUCCGUAGCUGGUCUGAGAGGAUGACCAGCCAGACUGGAACUGAGACACGGUCCAGACUCCUACGGGAGGCAGCAGUGAGGAAUCUUCCACAAUGGGCGAAAGCCUGAUGGAGCAACGCCGCGUGCAGGAUGAAGGCCUUCGGGUUGUAAACUGCUUUUAU
rnacentral:rRNA from 1 species